UAAUACGGAGGGGGUUAGCGUUGUUCGGAAUUACUGGGCGUAAAGCGCACGUAGGCGGAUUGGAAAGUUGGGGGUGAAAUCCCAGGGCUCAACCCUGGAACGGCCUCCAAAACUCCCAGUCUGGAGUUCGAGAGAGGUGAGUGGAAUUCCGAGUGUAGAGGUGAAAUUCGUAGAUAUUCGGAGGAACACCAGUGGCGAAGGCGGCUCACUGGCUCGAUACUGACGCUGAGGUGCGAAAGUGUGGGGAGCAAACAGGAUUAGAUACCCUGGUAGUCCACACCGUAAACGAUGAAUGCCAGUCGUCGGCAAGCAUGCUUGUCGGUGACACACCUAACGGAUUAAGCAUUCCGCCUGGGGAGUACGGUCGCAAGAUUA
rnacentral:rRNA from 1 species